GACAGAGGUCCCGAGCGUUAGGCGGAAUCACUGGGCUUAAAGCGUGUGUAGGCGGAUCGUUAAGUGCCUUGUGAAAUCCCAUGGCUUAACCAUGGAACUGCUUGGCAUACUGGCGAUCUUGAGCCACUUAGGGGCAACCGGAACAAAUGGUGGAGCGGUGAAAUGCGUAGAUAUGCGGAGGAACACCCGAGUGGAGCGAGCAUCCCUGGGCUGACCACG
rnacentral:rRNA from 1 species